UACGUAGGUGGCAAGCGUUUUCCGGAUUUACUGGGUGUAAAGGGCGUGUAGGCGGGGAAGCAAGUCAGAUGUGAAAUCCCAGGGCUUAACUCUGGAGCUGCAUCUGAAACUGUUUUUCUUGAGUGCUGGAGAGGAAAGUGGAAUUCCCAGUGUAGCGGUGAAAUGCGUAGAGAUUGGGAGGAACACCAGUGGCGAAGGCGGCUUUCUGGACAGUAACUGACGCUGAGGCGCGAAAGCGUGGGGAGCAAACAGG
rnacentral:rRNA from 1 species